rnacentral:tRNA from 1 species
GGCCCUGUGGCCUAAUGGUAAGGCGUUGGUUUUCGGUUCCUAAACCACCAAAGAUUGUGCGUUCGAGUCGCAUCGGGGUCG